UCGUGCUAGACGGGGCGCUAGCGGUGCCUUGAACCCGAAAUCCGCUCCAGGCGGGGUUGAAUUCCCCUUUGAGGGCCUUCGUCGUGCGGGGACUGCGGGGCCGGGCAGCGUUGAUGGUUGGGUCCUGUGCGGCGGGAGCCUGUGAAUUGUGUCAGGACCGAAAGGUAGCAGCACUAAGCGGUAUCUCCCGGGUGCCACGGGGUCGCCUGGCCUGAGCCAGCCAGUACCAGUAAGCUCGUAUGGCCGUUCGAGGAGGGGUGCACGA
rnacentral:SRP_RNA from 1 species